UACGUAUGGGCCUAGCGUUGUCCGGAUUUAUUGGGCGUAAAGAGCUCGUAGGCGGUUUGGUAAGUUGGAUGUGAAAUCUCCAGGCUCAACUUGGAGGGGUCAUUCGAUACUGCCAUGACUAGAGUUCGGUAGGGGAGUGUGGAAUUCCUGGUGGAGCGGUGAAAUGCGCAGAUAUCAGGAGGAACACCCGUAGCGAAGGCGGCACUCUGGGCCGGAACUGACGCUGAGGAGCGAAAGCGUGGGGAGCGAACAGG
rnacentral:rRNA from 1 species